rnacentral:lncRNA from 1 species
CUCUAUGAUCCCCUAGGGUUGCUCAAAACAUUGCGAUCAAUAGCUCUUCCUGCUUCUCUUGAGCUCUCCCCUUAAGGAAUCAUCUUCCUGGUGAGUAACGCCCAUCUUCAGGUGCACCUUUCAUUCCCUGGGAGCUCCGUGUCACAGCGCACUGCAGCUGCACACAGAUCUGCAGCUCCAUGACUCAUCUCUUUCUGGAUCCUCUGCAUCCAAGAAGCAUCAUGCUGGACAGCAGUAGUAAAUCUCCUAGUGAAAGCCAGAUUUGAUGCUAGUGCUUAUUCAUGUUUCUCCGAAGCAGAAUUCUGUUAUAUAAAUGCCAACAGCAGCAGUGGCACUUAGUGCUGGAGAGGAGCGUAGUGAUGCAACAGUCUUUGCUGGUGAACAACAGAUGUACUCAGAAGCAGAGAUGCUUUGAGGAAGAAGCUACACUGAGAGUUUCUUUCCAUGCUUGCUCUUUUUAAAUUAUAGUAAUAGUAGUAGUAAUAGUAAUAAUAAUAAAGGAAUGCCUUUGAAGCAUUUUGAGUGGAAAUCUUUAGAUGAAACUUUAAUCUACACAUUGUCCCAUAGAAUAAAAUCAAUCUCAUUCUGCUGUGGCCAAACUUGUCAAAUGCUGCAGGAUCACCUCCCUCUCCCUCAUGUGCCCUUCCCAGACAGAGCGCAGAUUAUCACAAAGCAUUCAGAUCUGUAAAAGGCCUGAAAGGGUGGGUAACGAGUGCUGAACAUGUAGGGGGGGAAAUUGUGACAAAUAUCGUGGUGGAAGAGAUCUUGUUGAGGUUCCACAUAUGGGUCAUAGGUGAAGCUGGUCCAGGAGAUUUUGAUUUCCUGCACGCAUGUGCAUUUUUCAUACUUUCACAGACUCAGUUCUGCCUUUCUACCCUCUUACUGAUAUUGCUUGGUGCUAAUAAGCACCCUGGUUCUGCAGCAUAGCAUCUCUGUAUGUGCAUCUUACUCCAAGUGAGAACCUGCAGGGAAAAAAUCUCAGAAAAAAAUGCCUCAUACUUGUGCCGUUGUACAAUUAACUUACCAAAACCACUCUUAAUAUUAAAUAAGUCUGAUUAACCUAGUGCAUUUAACCCUCUGAAAAGCUUGGCUUUGGCAACUCUUGACUCAACCGCCCAUUGCUUCUGCCCAUUUGAUAUUGCAAAAACCUCUCAAAAAAGAGAGGGUUUUGCUUUUCUUGGGGGAGACCUCCAGAGGUCACCCAAUCCCCGUCCUGCACAGAGCAGGCCUAAAAUAUUGUGUUUGACCAAACAAGUCUGAACACCUUGAAGGAAAGAAGGUUGGGCAACCUCUCUGGGCAACCCAACCCCUUCCAGUCUGACCAUCCUUGUAGUCCAAAAUCGUUUCCUUAUCUGGACUUCCCAUGUUCCAGCUUUUGUCUGUCACCUCUCACUGUAAUGCUGUAGUUGAGAGGACAUGCAAGUAAACAGGAUUUACCUCUCUUUAAUUUCACUGCUAAAAUCAAUUAUCUUCUCCUUAUUCGGCUUGUAACACCAAAUGAGUGUCUCUCUUACUGUAUUUAUUACUAUAUAUUCUGGAUGAGUCAAAUUCUGCUGUCUGUUCUCUAGCUUUAGCAUAGUGUCAGGACAUGCCUGGGGAGACAGUAAUACAGCACAGCUGCAAAUCAGAAAGUUGAGGUUAGAACCAUGUGGGUGUGCUGGGUGGUACUCGGACUGUACCUUUCCUCUCCAGUAAAUGUAUAUGGGAAUGCAUGUGUCCGAAUCCCUUUGGAUUUAGACUACAGGAGGUUAAGCAUUUUUUUUACAUUUUUGACUAACUAUCAUCCAUUUUUUUUAUAUGCUUUCUGCUAAUCUCGGGCCUUUCCUUGUGCAUCCAGGUGAGACACAAGGACACUCAUUGUUCCUGAAAUGAAAUCCAAGUUUUUCUGUAACUGAUACAAAAAUAAGUGCUAUUUAGAAGCAGUUUCAGAACUGGUGCUUUGUACUAUACAGCUGAAACCAAAUACAGGUAUUGAAAAGCCAAAGCUUACUUUAAGGUGGUAUCAAAAUGCAGUAACCUCAAAAUGAAAUUUUGGCAUUGUAGUUUGUUUGAGUAAAUAAGAGGUGCUAAAUCAUUAACAAAACAGACACAUUUGCUUGCGUGCAGAGGUCCUGUGUGCCCAUAAACAUCCUCUCUUGACAAAGCAAUCUCCUUUUCACAGUUUUUUCUCUUGACGACAUCUGUUAAAUAACAAUCCGGUACCUGCUGGUGGUUAUGUAAGAUCUGCUGUAGGAUCUCUGCUAUUUUUACGUACCCGAUCAUCUCACUUCUGCAUCCCUCCGCUCUGCCCUCUGGGUGGUGCUCCAUAACCGAGAGUUCCGUGUAGCUCUAUCCCACAGGAAAGGCUGUUGGGAAACGGUCAGGGCAACACUCUCCUUUGUUUCUAAAUUCCAUCUUAAAAUAGUUCGUCUGAGUUCAGAGAUUUGUUCCGUGUCAUGUAAAUGUGGUGUCUCUUCCUCUGGUGAAGCUGCAGAUCCAUUUGCUAGCACACAAGAUGCCACCUGUCUGGAACAGGAUCAGCUGUUAUUCUGCCGACCGACCCAUAUCUCAUAUCUCUUAUGGCAGCCAUUAACUGCAUUUAGCUGCUGCUCUGCUGGGAGGGCCUGAUCCUGCAUCUUCAGCUUUUCCUGCUGGGGUGCCCAUAGCUUUGCAGUCAGUCUGGGCACACUGUGUCUGCCUGCGUGGCUCAGAAUUCAUCAUGUCUGUCCCCGCAGAGCUGGGAAUGCAAAUGCUGCUGUCACUCCAUCCACCAAGCGUGUCGCUUAGACCCCUCUAUCCUUUCUCUUCUAGGUUGUCAGAAUUAUUGCAUUUUAAUUUGGUUUUACAGAAGUAAUGGGUAUUUUUGUGAGGGACCCCACCAAGUUGCUAAGAGUUUUUUAAAGUGCUGGUUUUAUUUAAUUAAAAAUAUCCAUUAAUUUUCUGAAUAUAUUUAUCAAUAUCCAUAACGUGUAAACAUUAUUAAUAAGCUCAUUAACACCCUUUGAGUACAGUUUUAUAGAAAUAAAAAUUAAAUAUAAAUUAGCACACAAGGUGAUGAAUUAGAAAACUGCCUUGAAUAAGUUUGCCCACAGCAGUAAGAGUUUCUAAAGCUGCUGGUUGGGGGCCUGCACCACAUCCCCUUUUGGGUGUCCCCUCCAAACAGCAAAGCCCAACCCUACUCACACACAGGGCAGCUCCAAGCCCAACUCCCUUCUGUUGUCCUCCACCUUUUUUCACACUGCUGUGCCCAUUUUGAGAUGGGAGGACUGAAACUGCUGAUUGUCCACUGGCAUCACAACACUUGUUUUUAUUUGUUCCCCAUUCCCUCCUGUUUGCCUUUGACUAUCUCUGAGCAUCGUGUGAGGCACUACAGAGCGAUCAGCAUAAUGAAGCCAGCAUCUCCUCAUUAAAUUGUCAUAGCUCAGAG